CGCCCGAAAGUGCUGUGAGCCUAUAAGUGAGUAGGGGCGGCCCGGGUCAUUGACACUGGGGCUGCAGCGCGGGCUGCGUGCGUGGUCGCGUGCCUGCCAGACAGUCCGUGAUUCCAUCAGCUUGGAGUCCUGGUAGCUGCGGCGCCGGGUGGCGAGAGGCGGGUCUCGGAGACCCCUGCGACCCACUGUGGUUCGGGGGAAAAGGAAGUCAUGAAAGAUAAUUGUCUGAUGGAUGGAGCCUGCUGACCAAGUGCUUCAUGCUGACUUCACUGGGGGGUGACUGAACAUCUGGUGACCUGAAACUUUUCUCUGCUCUUAUGGGGACUAAGGGGACACCUCUGAGGCUGGGUAGCAAAUCUCUGAGCUUGGUAGUUG
rnacentral:lncRNA from 1 species